rnacentral:rRNA from 1 species
GACGAACGCUGGCGGCGUGCUUAACACAUGCAAGUUGAACGACGGAAGCCAAUUGAUUUAUCAAUGGGUGGAAGGAGUGGCGAACGGGUGAGUAACGCGUGGGUAACCUGCCCUGAAGACCGGGAUAACAUACCGAAAGGGAUGCUAAUACCGGAUAAGCUCUUAGGUGCACAAGCAGCAGAGAGAAAAGCUGAGGCGCUUCAGGAUGGGCCUGCGUCCUAUUAGCUGGUUGGAGAGGUAACGGCUCACCAAGGCGACGAUAGGUAGCCGGUCUGAGAGGAUGAACGGCCACAUUGGGACUGAGACACGGCCCAAACUCCUACGGGAGGCAGCAGUGGGGAAUAUUCCGCAAUGGACGAAAGUCUGACGGAGCAACGCCGCGUGAAGGAAGAAGGCCUCGGUUGGUAAACUCUUUACCUAGGACGAAGAACGUAGACGGUACCU